rnacentral:rRNA from 1 species
UACGUAGGCAGCAAGCGUUGUUCGGAAUUACUGGGCGUAAAGAGUGUGUAGGCGGUGCUCUAAGUCUGUUGUGAAAUCUCCCGGCUUAACUGGGAGGGUGCGGCGGAGACUGGAGUGCUAGAGUGUGGGAGAGGUAAGCGGAAUUCCUGGUGUAGCGGUGAAAUGCGUAGAGAUCAUGAGGAAGACCAGUGGCGAAGGCGGGUCUCUGGACAGUUCCUGACACUGAGGCACGAAGGCCAGGGGAGCAAACGGG